UAAUUCUGUACGGUGGAUCACUCGGCUCGUUAUUCGAUGAAGAGCGCAGCAAAGUGCGAGAAAGCAAUGCGAAUUGCAGGACACAUUGAGCAUGAAUAACUCGAACGCAUCUAGCAGCC
rnacentral:rRNA from 1 species